GAUGAACGCUAGCGGGAGGCCUAACACAUGCAAGCCGAGCGGUAUUGUUUCUUCGGAAAUGAGAGAGCGGCGUACGGGUGCGGAACACGUGUGCAACCUGCCUUUAUCUGGGGGAUAGCCUUUCGAAAGGAAGAUCAAUACUCCAUAAUAUAUUGAACGGCAUCGUUCAAUAUUGAAAGCUCCGGCGGAUAGAGAUGGGCACGCGCAAGAUUAGCUGGUUGGUGAGGUAACGGCUCACCAAGGCGAUGAUCUUUAGGGGGCCUGAGAGGGUGAUCCCCCACACUGGUACUGGGACACGGACCAGACUCCUACGGGAGGCAGCAGUGAGGAAUAUUGGUCAAUGGGUGCAAGCCUGAACCAGCCAUCCCGCGUGAAGGACGACUGCCCUAUGGGUUGUAAACUUCUUUUGUAUAGGGAUAAACCUACCCUCGUGAGGGUAGCUGAAGGUACUAUACGAAUAAGCACCGGCUAACUCCGUGCCAGCCGCCGCCGUAA
rnacentral:rRNA from 1 species